GUGUUAUAUGUAUAGAUUGUCAAUAGGAUCCAAAAACUAAGGAAGAAGUCAGGUCUGGAACCAACAGACUUUGUGGAAGUGUACAUUGAAUCAUUGGACAAGGGUGAAUCUGCUUUGCAACAAGUUCUGAGCUCUCAGGAACAAUACAUUAAGGAUACAAUUGGUUCAUCUUUGCUUCCGUCUACAUUGAUGCCAUCUCAUGUAGUGAUAUUAUCUGAAGAGAGUUUCCAAAACGUUUCGAAGAUGUCGUUUAAGAUUAGCUUGGCUCGUCCGGCUUUGAAGCUGCGUUGAGAAGCUGCCAGUGGUGAGUGUCGUCCUUGGAGACCAUCUUCAUUUGACAGUCGGGGACUACUUGUUGAGCACGAUCAACUCAUGAGGACCCAACCCCCUAUUUAUGUCUUUAGUAAUUAAUGAUUUUCGACUGUUCAACAAACUAAUUUGUGUUGGAAAGUAUUCUCCGUAUUUUUACC